GUGAGGAAUAUUGGUCAAUGGGCGGGAGCCUGAACCAACCAAGUCGCGUGAAGGAAGAAGGAUCUAUGGUUCGUAAACUUCUUUUGCAGGGGAAUAAAGUGCAGGACGUGUCCUGUUUUGUAUGUACCCUGAGAAUAAGGAUCGGCUAACUCCGUGCCAGCAGCCGCGGUAAUACGGAGGAUCCGAGCGUUAUCCGGAUUUAUUGGGUUUAAAGGGUGCGUAGGUGGUUUGAUAAGUCAGCGGUGAAAGUUUGCAGCUUAACUGUAAAAAUGCCGUUGAAACUGUCGGACUUGAGUGUAAAUGAGGUAGGCGGAAUGCGUGGUGUAGCGGUGAAAUGCAUAGAUAUCACGCAGAACUCCGAUUGCGAAGGCAGCUUACUAAGCUACAACUGACACUGAAGCACGAAAGCGUGGGGAUCAAACAGGAUUAGAAACCCUGGUAGUCC
rnacentral:rRNA from 1 species